rnacentral:rRNA from 1 species
UACGUAGGGUGCAAGCGUUAAUCGGAAUUACUGGGCGUAAAGCGUGCGCAGGCGGUUUUGUAAGACGGAUGUGAAAUCCCCGGGCUUAACCUGGGAACUGCAUUCGUGACUGCAAGGCUAGAGUAUGGCAGAGGGGGGUAGAAUUCCACGUGUAGCAGUGAAAUGCGUAGAGAUCGGGAGGAACACCAGUGGCGAAGGCGGCCUUCUGGACCAGUACUGACGCUCAUGCACGAAAGCGUGGGGAGCAAACAGG